rnacentral:rRNA from 1 species
AGGACUAACGCUGGCGGCGUGCCUAACACAUGCAAGUCGAACGAAGUAGCAAUACUUAGUGGCAGACGGGUGAGUAACACGUAGUCAACCUGCCCUUCAAUGGGGGAUAACUAGCCGAAAGGUUAGCUAAUUACCGCAUACGAUCUCUGAGUGGCAUCACUCGGCGAUGAAAGGAGUAAUCCGUUGAAGGAGGGGACUGCGUCCCAUUAGUUAGUUGGUGGGGUAAUGGCCUACCAAGACUCCGAUGGGUAGCUGGCUUGAGAGAGCGACCAGCCACACUGGAACUGAGACACGGUCCAGACUCCUACGGGAGGCAGCAGUGAGGAAUUUUCCGCAAUGGGGGGAAACCCUGACGGAGCGACGCCGCGUGUGGGGAAGAAGGCCUUCGGGUCGUAAACCACUGUCGAGGGGGACGAUAUUGACGGUACCCCUGGAGGAAGCCCGGCUAACUACGUGCCAGCAGCCGC